AACGAACGCUGGCGGCAUGCCUAACACAUGCAAGUCGAACGAGACCUUCGGGUCUAGUGGCGCACGGGUGCGUAACGCGUGGGAACCUGCCCUUAGGUUCGGAAUACCUCCCCGAAAGGGGUGCUAAUACCGGAUAAUUUCUUCGGACCAAAGAUUUAUCGCCUUUGGAUGGGCCCGCGUUGGAUUAGCUAGUUGGUAGGGUAAAAGCCUACCAAGGCGACGAUCCAUAGCUGGUCUGAGAGGAUGAGCAGCCACACUGGGACUGAGACACGGCCCAGACUCCUACGGGAGGCAGCAGUGGGGAAUAUUGGACAAUGGGCGAAAGCCUGAUCCAGCAAUGCCGCGUGAGUGAUGAAGGCCUUAGGGUUGUAAAGCUCUUUUACCCGGGAUGAUAAUGACAGUACCGGGAGAAUAAGCGCCGGCUAACUCCGUG
rnacentral:rRNA from 1 species